rnacentral:rRNA from 1 species
AUUGAACGCUGGCGGCAUGCCUUACACAUGCAAGUCGAACGGCAGCACGGGGGCAAUCCUGGUGGCGAGUGGCGAGCGGGUGAGUAAAGUAUCGGAACGUGCCCAGUCGGGGGGGAUAACGUAGCGAAAGUUACGCUAAUACCGCAUACGAUCUAUGGAUGAAAGCGGGGGAUCGCAAGACCUCGCGCGAUUGGAGCGGCCGAUAUCAGAUUAGGUAGUUGGUGGGGUAAAGGCUCACCAAGCCGACGAUCUGUAGCUGGUCUGAGAGGACGACCAGCCACACUGGGACUGAGACACGGCCCAGACUCCUACGGGAGGCAGCAGUGGGGAAUUUUGGACAAUGGGCGAAAGCCUGAUCCAGCCAUGCCGCGUGCAGGAUGAAGGCCUUCGGGUUGUAAACUGCUUUUGUACGGAACGAAAAGGUUUGGCCUAAUAAGCUGAGCUCAUGACGGUACCGUAAGAAUAAGCACCGGCUAACUACGUGCCAGCAGCCGCCGCAG